AUUGAACGCUGGCGGCAGGCCUAACACAUGCACGUCGAACGAGUGGCGGACGGGUGAGUACUGUCUGGGAAACUGCACGAUGGAGGGGGAUAACUACUGGAAACGGUAGCUCAUAACGCCUACCCUCGGAUGUGCCCAGAUGGGAUUAGCUAGUAGGUGGGGUAACGGUUAACCUAGGCGACGAUCCCUAGCUGGUCUGAGAGGAUGACCAGCCACACUGGAACUGAGACACGGUCCAGACUCCUACGGGAGGCAGCAGUGGGUAAUAUGGCACAAUGGGCGCAAGCCUGAUGCAGCCAUGCCGCGUGUAUGAAGAAGGCCUUCGGGUUGUAAAGUACUUUCAGCGAGGAGGCGUUACUCGCAGAAGAAGCACCGGCUAACUCCGUGCCAGCAGCCGCGGUAAUAC
rnacentral:rRNA from 1 species